AACGCACGAGACCUGCGGACCUGCGGAGGGAUCAUUAUCGAGUUUUUGAACGGGUUGUAGCUGGUCUUUCGGGACAUGUGCACGCCUGGCUCAAUCCACUCUUCAAACCAUUGUGCACUUAUUGUAGGUCGGUUGAAAGGCUUCUUGGGUUCAGUAAAAUGGAUUCAAGAUGCUGGAAGGCCUUCCUAUGUUUUUACUACAAACGCUUCAGUCAUAGAAUGUCAUUUACUUGCGUAUAAC
rnacentral:misc_RNA from 1 species